AUGGACCAUUCCAUCCCUUUUUCCCAUGCAUAUGCAUCGGACUCGGAUGACGAUGGUCCCGAUGAACAAGUUGAUGCGGAGGGGUUCACGGUGAAGGAGGCUGAAGCUUUCGAGAAGGUAUUUGGUCGGGAUCAUCGGACUACAUUGUUCAAGGAUGUUAGUCUCGCGGAUGAAGCCGUUGUAGAUGGUGGCCAAUGUGUACCUCUUGGGGUUAGGCCAAGCUCUCAC
rnacentral:rRNA from 1 species